rnacentral:rRNA from 1 species
GGCCCGCACAAGCGGUGGAGCAUGUGGUUUAAUUCGGAGCAACGCGAAGAACCUUACCAGGUCUUGACAUCCUUUGACCACUCUGGAGACAGAGCUUUCCCUUCUGGGACAAAGUGACAGGUGGUGCAUGGUUGUCGUCAGCUCGUGUCGUGAGAUGUUGGGUGAAGUCCCGCAACGAGCGCAACCCUUGAUUUUAGUUGCCAGCAUUUAGUUGGGCACUCUAAAGUGACUGCCGGUGCAAGCCGGAGGAAGGUGGGGAUGACGUCAAAUCAUCAUGCCCCUUAUGACCUGGGCUACACACGUGCUACAAUGGAUAGUACAAAGGGUCGCGAAGCCGCGAGGUGGAGCUAAUCCCAUAAAACUAUUCUCAGUUCGGAUUGUAGGCUGCAACUCGCCUACAUGAAGCCGGAAUCGCUAGUAAUCGUGGAUCAGCAUGCCACGGUGAAUACGUUCCCGGGCCUUGUACACACCGCCCGUCACACCACGAGAGUUUGUAACACCCGAAGUCGGUAGGGUAACCUUUAUGGAGCCAGCCGCCGAAGGUGGGACAGAUAAUU